AUCUCAGCUGGAUAGAGCAACAGCCUUCUAAGUUGUGGGUCGGGAGUUGGAAUCUCUCC
rnacentral:tRNA from 1 species